UACGUAGGGUGCAAGCGUUGUCCGGAAUUAUUGGGCGUAAAGAGCUCGUAGGCGGUUUGUCGCGUCGGCUGUGAAAACCCGGGGCUCAACCCCGGGCCUGCAGUCGAUACGGGCAAACUAGAGUGUGGUAGGGGAGACUGGAAUUCCUGGUGUAGCGGUGAAAUGCGCAGAUAUCAGGAGGAACACCGGUGGCGAAGGCGGGUCUCUGGGCCGAUACUGACGCUGAGGAGCGAAAGCGUGGGGAGCGAACAGG
rnacentral:rRNA from 1 species